GGUGACAGCCUGGAACUAAACCAUUCGAAAUAAAAUCACAAACCUGCACUCACAAAAUGACUCUGGACCCUGGAGAACUAGCAGGGUCACAUUCUCUAACUAGGAGCAGGAAUGGCUGCUACAGCUCUAACACAAACUAAAGCCUUGCUGCGUCCACUCAACACAAGGACCCACAAGACUGGCAACAACAUUAAGGCAGGGAUACAGAUGAGGAGAAAAAGGCAAACUGACUGGAACUACAGUAACUGCAUAAGGAAGGUGACCUACAAGUUUCUAACACAAAGACAGGAAGGGAAUAACCACUGCAGAAGCAGGACUGAACGUGAAGCAAAGGCAAACUAAGUCACUGCCUGGUGAAGAACCCUGAAACACAGGGACACAAAGCACAAGGCAGAUGAACAGAAACAACAAACAGAGCUACAACACAGAUCAACAGCACAAAAUGCAGAUCUUAAAGGAAAUACUGGAACAGGAAACAGACAGGAAGUGAUGUAACACCAACAAGUAAGACGAGACUGAACAACACUCAAGGUGUCAUGAUUCAUGUUACGUGUCACAUCCUGUUUUAUUUUGUUAACUUCCUGUCACGCUCCGGUUCUCAUCAUCCACACCUGUUGCUAAUUAGUAAUCAGCACCUGUACUUAACCUCCACCUCUCACCCACACCAGUCGCCAGAUUGUUAGUUCAUGUACUCUUUCCAGCAUUCUAUUGUAGCCAUUCGUGUUUUGACCGUGACCGCCUCGACCUUUGAUUCUUGCCUGAACCCUGUUGAUCCCGCAACCUGUGAAAGACCUGUGCCUGAUAAUCUGACCGUGAGUUUUUUGCCUGAUCCUUGUCUGUACUGUCGCCAAGUCUGCUCGUGUACCGAACCCUGCCUGGACCUUGAUUCUGAGAUUGCCUGCUCCUCUGUGUAUUGCCUACUGGAACGUACUGUGUAUGACCUGGACCGCCUGACUCUGAUUCACCGAAUAAACCUGCACUUAAUCACAUCUGUGUUUCUGCGCCGUGCAUGUGGGUCCGACACCUGCCCAAGCCUGACACAAGGCAUCCGGCAGAUUAGAAGGUGGAAUUAUGACAAAUAGGCCCAAAACAAUCUGCCACGCUACGUGUCUAUGCAGAUUACACUCAGUUAUAUCUCUUAUUGAAACCACGUGACUAAUCAAUUAGUCAAACGUCUUUAAAAUACAUCAAAUCCUGGAUGGCCUGUUACUCCCUUCAUCUAACUUCAGACA
rnacentral:lncRNA from 1 species